UACGUAGGGGGCUAGCGUUGUCCGGAUUUAUUGGGCGUAAAGAGCGUGUAGGCGGCCAUGUAGGUCCGGUGUGAAAACUCGAGGCUUAACCUCGAGAUGUCAUCGGAAACCAUUUGGCUAGAGUCCGGAAGAGGAGAGUGGAAUUCCUGGUGUAGCGGUGAAAUGCGUAGAUAUCAGGAGGAACACCCGUAGCGAAGGCGGCACUCUGGGCCGAUACUGACACUGAGGAGCGAAAGCGUGGGGAGCGAACAGG
rnacentral:rRNA from 1 species